GUGUCAGCAGCCGCGGUAAUACGUAGGGGCCAAGCGUUGUCCGGAUUUAUUGGGCGUAAAGAGCUCGUAGGCGGUUCGGUAAGUCAGCUGUGAAAUCUCCACGCUCAACGUGGAGGGGUCAGCUGAUACUGCCGUGACUUGAGUCUGGUAGGGGAGUGCGGAAUUCCCGGUGUAGCGGUGAAAUGCGCAGAUAUCGGGAGGAACACCAGUGGCGAAGGCGGCACUCUGGGCCAGUACUGACGCUGAGGAGCGAAAGCGUGGGGAGCGAACAGGAUUAGAUACCCCCGUAGUCC
rnacentral:rRNA from 1 species